rnacentral:SRP_RNA from 1 species
CCGUGCUAGAUGGGGAGGUAGCGGUGCCCUGUAACCCGCAAGCCGCUAUAGCGGGAUUGAAUUCCCACCCGAGGGUUUGGUUUGUGGGGACCGGCCGGUGUAAGCGGCGAAGAGGGCUGGGUCCCGCGCAACGGGAACUCAUGAACCCCGUCAGGUCCGGAAGGAAGCAGCGGUAAGUGAACCUUUCCGUGUGCCGCGGGGGAGCCUGGCCGGAGCCGGCUGCACCGGUAACGCCCGGAAGCCACUAUUCAGAGGUGGGUGCGCGG